CGUAGGUGGCAAGCGUUGUCCGGAUUUAUUGGGUUUAAAGGGUGCGUAGGCGGUGAUUUAAGUCAGUGGUGAAAUACUUCAGCUUAACUGGAGAGGUGCCAUUGAUACUGGGUCACUUGAGUACUGAUGAGGUAGGCGGAAUGGACGGUGUAGUGGUGAAAUGCUUAGAUAUCGUCCAGAACACCGAUAGCGAAGGCAGCUUACUAAGGAGUAACUGACGCUGAGGCACGAAAGUGUGGGGAUCAAACAGGAUUAGAUACCCUGGUAGUCCACACUGUAAACGAUGAUCACUCGAUGUUGGCGAUACACAGCCAGCGUCUUAGCAAAAGCGAUAAGUGAUCCACCUGGGGAGUACGCCGGCAACGGUG
rnacentral:rRNA from 1 species